rnacentral:sRNA from 1 species
GCAGCUUUUACUCCUUGUCACCUAGGGCCCCAUCUGCAAAAUGAGGGCAUUGUUCUACUUAACGGGUAUGAGCUAAAUGUAAUUUUCUGUUCUGAUGGUCUCUCUGUUCUUUGCCCUUCAGCGUGCCAGCCUGGAGACGGCCAUCGCUGACGCUGAGCAGCGGGGAGACAAUGCCCUGAAGGAUGCCCGGGCCAAGCUGGAUGAGCUGGAGGGCGCCCUGCACCAGGCCAAGGAGGAGCUGGCGCGGAUGCUGCGAGAGUACCAGGAGCUCAUGAGCCUGAAACUGGCCCUGGACAUGGAGAUUGCCACCUACCGCAAGCUGCUGGAGGGCGAGGAGUGCAGGAUGUCUGGUGAGAAUCCAUCCUCUGUGAGCAUCUCUGUCAUCAGCAGUAGCAGCUACAGCUACCACCACCCCAGCUCUGCGGGUGUUGACCUCGGGGCCAGCGCUGUGGCAGGCAGCUCUGGCAGCACCCAGAGCGGGCAGACCAAGACCACAGAGGUGCGAGGGGGAGACCUCAAGGACUCCCAGGGCAAGAGCACCCCAGCC